CCAUUAGGCAGCAGCUGGGGGAAGAAUCAACACACCAGGGAGCGGAGCGGUGCGGACCGAGCACCGAGGCGGCUGCUGCCUCCGCCGCCGCCUCCUCCGCCGCCGCUGCCGGGGCUCCAGCUUCGAGCCCGCGCCCCCCCCCAGUGCCCGCGAGCCCCCGGGCCGCGCCGCGAGCGCCUCCGGAGGGGGGGGAAGGGCCCGGUCCUCCUUCUCCCCCUCCUCCCGCCCCACCGACCCCCGCCGCGCCCCGCCGGCCUCCCACCACGGCCUCUCUCGGCGAGGAAACUCUGGCCUCCGCUUCCUCCUCCUCCGACUCGGACGCCGGCGGAGCCUCCCCGCCCCCGCGGAAGAAGCCCCGAGCCUCGGCGGCGGAGGGAGCAGGAGAGCCCGGGGCCUCGGCCGGCCGAGCAGGCCUCCCCCCCCCGCCCUCGCCCUCGCCGGCCGCCGCCGCCUCCUCCGUGGUGGUGGUGGUGGGACUGCCUCCGGCCGCCCCCGCCGCCCCCCAGCGGAGCAGCGGCCACAGCCUGGUCAGCGGCGGCAGCAUGCAGGCCAACGGGGCGGGAGGAGGCGGCGGCGGCGGCGGCGGGGGCGGCGGGGGCCAGGGCCAGACCCCGGAGCUCGCCUGCCUGUCGGCGCAGAACGGGGAGUCGUCCCCCUCGGCGGCGUCCGCGGGGGACCUGGCCCACGCCAACGGGCUCCUGCCUGCCGCCCCCUCCGCCGCUGGCAACAAUAGCAACAGCCUGAGUGUCAAUAACGGGGUUCCCGGCGGGGCCGCCGCGGCCUCCGCCACCGCCGCCGCCGCCCUGGCCACCCCCGAGCUGGGCAGCAGCCUCAAGAAGAAGAAGCGGCUCUCGCAGUCCGAUGAGGAUGUCAUUAGGCUCAUAGGACAGCACCUCAAUGGCCUGGGGCUCAACCAGACUGUUGACCUCCUCAUGCAAGAGUCAGGAUGUCGUUUAGAACAUCCUUCUGCUACCAAAUUCCGAAAUCAUGUCAUGGAAGGAGACUGGGAUAAGGCAGAAAAUGACCUGAAUGAACUAAAGCCUUUAGUGCAUUCUCCUCAUGCUAUUGUGGUAAGAGGCGCACUUGAAAUCUCUCAAACGUUGUUGGGAAUAAUUGUGAGGAUGAAGUUUUUGCUGCUGCAGCAGAAGUACCUGGAAUACCUGGAGGAUGGCAAGGUCCUGGAGGCACUUCAGGUUCUCCGCUGUGAACUGACGCCACUGAAAUACAAUACAGAGCGCAUUCAUGUUCUUAGUGGGUAUCUAAUGUGUAGCCAUGCGGAAGACCUACGGGCAAAAGCUGAAUGGGAAGGCAAGGGAACAGCUUCCCGCUCCAAACUACUGGACAAGCUUCAGACCUAUUUACCACCAUCAGUGAUGCUUCCCCCACGGCGUUUACAGACUCUCCUGCGGCAGGCGGUGGAGCUGCAGAGGGACCGGUGCCUCUACCACAACACCAAACUUGACAGCAACCUAGACUCUGUGUCUCUGCUGAUAGAUCAUGUUUGUAGUAGGAGACAGUUCCCCUGUUACACUCAGCAGAUACUUACGGAGCAUUGUAAUGAAGUGUGGUUCUGUAAAUUCUCUAAUGAUGGCACUAAGCUAGCAACAGGAUCAAAGGACACCACAGUUAUCAUAUGGCAAGUUGAUCCGGAUACACACCUGCUCAAGCUGCUUAAAACAUUAGAAGGACAUGCGUAUGGUGUUUCUUACAUUGCAUGGAGUCCAGAUGACAACUAUCUUGUUGCUUGUGGCCCAGAUGACUGCUCUGAGCUUUGGCUUUGGAAUGUACAAACGGGAGAACUAAGAACAAAAAUGAGCCAAUCUCAUGAAGACAGUUUGACCAGUGUAGCCUGGAAUCCAGAUGGGAAACGCUUCGUGACUGGAGGUCAGCGUGGGCAGUUCUAUCAGUGUGACCUGGAUGGAAAUCUUUUGGACUCCUGGGAGGGGGUGCGAGUGCAAUGCCUAUGGUGCUUGAGUGAUGGGAAGACUGUGCUGGCUUCUGAUACACACCAGAGGAUCCGGGGCUACAACUUUGAGGACCUUACAGAUAGGAACAUAGUACAAGAAGAUCAUCCUAUUAUGUCAUUUACUAUUUCAAAAAAUGGCCGAUUAGCUUUGUUAAAUGUAGCAACUCAGGGAGUUCAUUUAUGGGACUUGCAAGACAGAGUUUUAGUAAGGAAAUAUCAAGGUGUCACACAAGGGUUUUAUACAAUUCAUUCAUGUUUUGGAGGCCAUAAUGAAGACUUCAUCGCUAGUGGCAGUGAAGAUCACAAGGUUUACAUCUGGCACAAACGAAGUGAACUGCCAAUUGCGGAGCUGACAGGGCACACGCGCACAGUAAAUUGUGUUAGCUGGAACCCACAGAUUCCAUCUAUGAUGGCCAGUGCCUCCGAUGACGGCACUGUUAGAAUAUGGGGACCAGCACCUUUCAUAGACCACCAGAAUAUUGAAGGGAAGGAACCAAAAUAUGGCAGACCCCCGUUAACUUGUUGAAUGCUGCCAUUUCGGCAAGUCUAGGUCUGGAAAGUUUUCCCACCACCUUGAUACUUGAAGAUGAAGAAAGUCAUAAAGCUAACAGAUGAGGACAAAUUCUUGAUUAAAUAUAAUAGUACUAGAGAGAAGUAAUAAAUUUUAUAGGAAUGCAGUAGCAUGGAUAGUUGAUGGCGAAUUGGAGCAGACGACUUCUGUUUAACUUAAAAUUAGUCGUAUUUUAAUGGCUUGGGAUUUGGUGCAAACAAACAUGAUUGAUAGCUGGACAGACAUGCUCGUCAUGAAAAAAGAACCAUUUCUGAAGCCCGAUUGGGGCCAAACCUUUACACCUUGCUUCAUAGUAACCAGUUGAUGAAGCACGUCGUUAGAACGUUGUUGGACACCAUGUUGAAUAUUCCCCAUCGGUUGUGAAGAACUGUACUGCAUUCAGGCUUACCCAUUGAACUCAGUAUAUAUAUUUUUUCCCUCCUGCCUUUUGUCUGGUGGGAUACCAUUCUUGUUGCUCUUCUGUGUAAUGAAGUUCAAAUGCUUGUUUGGAAACUUUAUUUAACAGUUUAGAAGGCUUGAUAGGAAGAGUUCAUUAGUCUGAAGAGUAUACAUUGGACAGGAAAGAAUUUUCCUUUUGUUUCUCCAAAUCUUUCCGCCUUAUUUAGCUUGAGAUCUUUGCAGCUUGGUUCAUGGAUUCUAGCCUUGCCCGUUGCGCAGUAUAUACUGAUCAGAUGAUAAACCAGUGAACUAUGUCAAAAGCACUCUCAAUAUUACAUUUGACAAAAAGUUUUGUACUUUUCACAUAGCUUGUUGCCCCGUAAAAGGGUUAACAGCACAAUUUUUUAAAAAUAAAUUAAGAAGUAUUUAUAGGAUUAAAGUGACUUCAUUUGUAUACAUUUGGAAUCUAAACCAGCUUAAAAACAGUUUCCUCUGUGACUCAGAUAUGCAGUGUAACUGAUGCUCUUCUGGGGUACCACCUGAGACAUGGCAUGGUCAGAAACAGUGCUCAGAAGGACAUGGCACAGGAAAGCCAGAGAGACACUCUGAAGGUUCCCCCUUUUUAUUUUAUUCCCGAAGGGACAUCAGUACCUGAUGUUGAAGAAAUUCAAGAUUCAAAAGGAGAAUUUUAUAAAUACACCAACAUGAAAAAUCAGCUAUCAGUCUAGGUUUUCACGAAAGCUUGUUCCAAGUUCUUCUAGACUUGGUGCGAUCUAGUAAAGUAGAGAUCAGAAGAUAGACCCACUUGGGGAAUUUAUAGUGUCGUUGAGACUUAGAAUUCAGCAGGUUACAAACAUAUGUCAACUGGGAUUCAAACCUCAGUCAUUUCUCCUAAUUGCCCUUAAUGCCCAACAUAUAGGGACACUGGAAUUUAACAAAGAUUCCUUCUCAACUUCUCAGAUGUUGCCAUACUGAACCUCAUUCAAACUGGUGCUGUGGACAGUCUUUCCCUCUCCUCCACCUUUUAGUUUAAGGGAUGGUUUCCUUUAUGGAAAAAGGCUCUCAUUUUGAAGACUCUACAUCUAAUGUCUGAUGUUCAUGGUGUUUUUAAACCCCAUAGCUGCUGGGUCUAACAGUCUCUCUUGAAAUUGCCUGUUUUUCAGUAGAGGAUGAUCAGGGUGACCACAGCUAUUGGAAAGAGAAAUGGAAUUACUCCCAAAGUAAGAUCCUGGUGAAGAAAAAAAAAAUCUUGUAUCAAGUUGCCCUUGAGGCCAAGCCAAAUCCAUAGCAUUCUCACCAUGAUCAUACAUACCCCUUCACGGCCCUAAGAGAGGAGAGAUGCUUGGAGUGUAGGGCACAUAAGGAGGGAUAGAAGCAGGGAGGGAAAGUCGGGAAAAGGAAGAAGAAAACACAUUCGGCCUUAAAGUAGAGUUCAUUCUCCCAAAGUUCAUAGUGAGGAAAUGAGAGGUUGUAGUCAGCAAUGAUUUUAUCAAAUGAGUGUGUAAAAAGAUUACAUCAAGCUUCAUUUUGCAGAGACCACCACUUUAGAAAAUCAGAGAAAUCCUGUUUUGAUACUUCUAAGUUAAAAUAAUGUUACCGUUUAUCUGGUACUUCAUUUCUUUACUAAAUUACUUUUCACUUUAAGCUUGAAUAAAAAUUUUCAUUUGUAACUGUAUAUAAUUAAGUGGCAACUCCUCUUUACCUCAGUGCAGUUCAAACCGUAUUUUGAUUGAUAUACCCUGACGCCAUUAACACACACACCCAGUUUCUACAUAACAGUCACUAACAAAAUGAGGGCAUAGAACUCCAGGGCUGUUUACAGAUGUGGUUACAUUGUACCAUAUGGUACAUAUGUAAUGUUCCUGAGAUUUGUGCCCACUGGGCAGUUGACACUCAGAUUCUACCAGUAUACCAAGCCACACCUAGAUCUGAGUUUUCAUAGUGCCUGUGAAGUACAGUUAAAAACACUUAGAAGUAAAAACGUGGACUCAGAGUGAGGCACAUUUUAAAGUGGAGUUACAGCUAUGCAAAGGUGUUCAUAGCAGCUCGGUGAGUGGUUUCCAGGUCUGUUCUAAUUGGCAGCUUCCUCUAUAUACUGGUACUUCACUGUGCCAAUUUGCCGGAAGCAUCUGUUUCAUAGAUUUACCAUGACGUGAGUGUGUUAGAAAGGUGGGAAAGAGGGUGAAGAAACCUAGCUUUUAUGAUGGAAGAACCUGGUGGCAGGAUUUUUCUAACCCAUAGCUAGUAACUGAAAAUUUCUGACAAUGUGAUAAACAUAAAGGCUUAAGAGGGAAAAUUCUGUCAAGCCAGCCACAAGAUACUAACCAAUGUAUAAGCUGAAAAGUACCAAUACUUUUUGCACAUAGAUCAAAAUAGUGGAGAAUUUUGGCUCCAAAAAUCAGGUUAGUAGGCUCAAUUCCUUGUGCUUAAAAAUGUUGUUAUUAAUGCAUUGAUUAAGGGCUAGAGCAAGAAUGAAAUUAAAUGUCUUUUUCCUCUGAAUAACUGGUUAUUAGUGGUAAAGUGUUGGAUUGGGGGAUCACUGAGGUUGGUGUGUGGGGGUGAGAAAAGGAGUUAGAGUGGGAGUUCGUUGGGAGAUGGCAAAGCUUUGGAUUUGGUUUUGUAUUUUGUUAGUAUUCAUGCCAGCAGUAUUUGCUGCUCUCGCUGGCCAGAUAUUCUAGUAAUCCAGGUAAGUAGUUGAAAACAGGAAAUUUUAUUUGCAAAUAUCCCCAUAUAUUGGCCCAUUUUCUUGGGUGGAGAACAAGAAAGGAAUUCUCUGACUAUAAUGAAAACAACCUGCUAGACGAACCAAGAGCAAUCUCCUUAGUCUGAGAAGACAAGCAGGAAUUGAGCAAGAUUAGUGGUUAGGAGUGUUCUGCCUUGACUGGCAUUCUAUGGCAUUAAUAGAAAAUUCUUCUUCCCACCCCUCCCCGCCUUGAAAUCUUUUUUAGGACGUUGGUUCCUGCAAACAAGAACUGACCCUCUGCCUCCCAGUGGGUAAAUGUGUCGCACAUCUCUUGAAAGGGAACAUAUCCAUGUCAUUUACUUUACAGCAGAAGAAUGGGGAGGAAAGAAGAUAAUUUGUCUUAAUAUCCUUUGUGUCCCAUUUUUUUAAAAUAUAUUUUUACCUAGUAAUUUUACUUUAAUGUCUCAGACUUCAGCAACUCUCCCUUUGUUUGCUGGCCAAAGCAUUACCUCCAUUUCCAAACCCAUACCUGGUUUCACUUCAACUGCUAACUUGAAAGAGGUGAAUUUGCAUUUACACUUAGACACUUUCUAAAAACAGGGUGGACUUAAUCUAAUGUUGCAGUGUUGAGCUAUUGUUACAGUAGCUGCCCUUGAACUGCAAAAACAAGCUGUAACCAUCCCUAUCUACUGGAUCCAGAUGUCCUGGAUUUAAUGAGGUUAGUCGUAUAAGAUUUUGUGUGCUUGAGAAAGGAAGAACUUGAUUCAUAAAAUAUCCUAGAAACAACUUCUAGGUUGUCAUUUUUACUGAAAGUCUUGUGCACAUGUAAAGUGCCCUCUCUUGAGUUUAAGACUUGGCUAAUACUUGUCUAUUUUUAUAAGAAUGAAAUUAAUUGUGUCCCAUCUUUGACUUAGACAUUUACAUUAUCAGGAUCAAUAUGGUAGAAUUAAAUCAUAACAUUUUUAGGCUCGGGGGGGGGAUGUUAUUGGCCUCUUGAUAGUAAGAGAGUGAGUGAAAGUGUGUGUGUGUGUGUGUGUGUGUGUGUGUGUGUGUGUGUUUUGAGGGGAGUAGAUCACAAAAGCAUGUAUGUGCUUACAAACCAAGCUGUAGAGAUCACAAAGAAUUUGAGUGUUGCUCUGGAGAUUUCUGAGCUAUGGAGAGUGAUACGGCCUUGUGCGAUGUAGCUCACACAGCUGUUGGUGUGGAGUAAUAGUUAACUAUGAACUGAUAGAUGUUUCCAGAGGAUUGUGUUCUUAAACUUUGGGGUUUGCUUUUUUAACUGCCUCUCAGAUUAUAUUUAGUAGUUUAUAAAUUUCUUUGUUUUAUUAUUUCAUUAAAGUAUAAAAACUUCAGGUCUCAUAUUUAUUUUCACUUGUUCUACUAAUUAUUUACAAGACACCUUUUGGUUGACAUUUAUUUUAUAAAUGUGUGGUAUAUUAAAUGUCUUUAAAUUUUUUUGUUUGGUUGAAAUUACAGUAACUUUGAUUUGCUUUACUUGGAUUUUUAAAUUUUAUUUUAAUUACACCUUUUCCAUGUCAGUGCACAGCACUUGCCCAGUCCUUUGUAUUCCCUUCUCUCAAUUCAAUAAACAGAAUGAGUAAUUAA